rnacentral:rRNA from 1 species
UACAGAGGGUGCAACCGUUGCUCGGAAUUAUUGGGCGUAAAGCGCACGUAGGCGGUUUGGUAAGUUGGAUGUGAAAACCCUGGGCUCAACCCUGGAAGUGCAUCCAAGACUGUCAAGCUCGAGUGUCGGAGGGGGUCGGAGAAUUCCCGGUGUAGAGGUGAAAUUCGUAGAUAUCGGGAGGAACAUCUGUGGCGAAGGCGCCGACCUGGACGACAACUGACGCUGAGGUGCGAAAGCAUGGGGAGCAAACAGG